rnacentral:rRNA from 1 species
GCUUGUCUCAAAGAUUAAGCCAUGCAUGUCUAAGUAUAAGUAUUAUACAGCGAAACUGCGAAUGGCUCAUUAAAACAGUUAUAGUUUACAUGAUAAUCGAAUUUACAUGGAUAACCGUAGUAAUUCUAGAGCUAAUACAUGCAUCAAACCCCGACUUCUGGAAGGGGUGUAUUUAUUAGAUGGAAACCAAUGCAGGGCAACCUGGAAUAUGGUGAUUCAUAAUAACUCGCGGAUCGGUUUACCGAUGCAUCAUUCAAGUUUCUGCCCUAUCAGCUUUGGAUGGUAGGGUAUUGGCCUACCAUGGCUUUAACGGGUAACGGAGAAUUAGGGUUCGAUUCCGGAGAGGGAGCCUGAGAAAUGGCUACCACAUCCAAGGAAGGCAGCAGG